AACAAAAACAUGUCCUUUAGAUAUAUAAUUUAAGGUCUAAUCUGCCCACUGAUUAAUUAAAUGGCCGCAGUAAUUUGACUGUGCAAAGGUAGCAUAAUCAUUAGUUUUUUAAUUAAAAGCUUGUAUGAAUGAUUGGACGAGAUAAAAUCUGUCUCUUAAUUAAUUUAGAAUUUAAUUUUUAAGUUAAAAAGCUUAAAUUUUUAUAAAAGACGAGAAGACCCUAUAGAUCUUUAUUUAUUUAUUUUAUAAUUUAUUUGAUGAUUAAUUUAUUUAAUAUAAAAUUAUAAAUUUUAUUGGGGUAAUAAAAAGAUUAAAUAAAUUCUUUUUUAUAAAAACAAUAAUAAUUGAUUUUGUGAUCCAUAUAUAAUGAUUAUAAGAUUAAGUUACCUUAGGGAUAACAGCGUAAUUUUUUUAAAGAGUUCAUAUCGAUAAAAAAGUUUGCGACCUCGAUGUUG
rnacentral:rRNA from 1 species